CUCGACGUUACCUACAAGUCCUUGCAGAACUGCUUGGUACACCUCUGCUGGAGGCCGCGGUGAAAGUGUGCUGCGGCUGCAAGAUGCCGACCGGGCCGUUUCGUGGUCCUCCCGCUUUUAGCUACGUUUAUGCAUCGCAAACGAGCAGCAAACAUUGUUGCACCCGUGGUUGGGGGACCGACGACACAAGAGAAAGAGGGAGCCGACGAACGGACGAGAGGCGCCCCACUGCUGCACGUGCCGGCCGGCGCAUCUACCAACAACCUGAUCCGUUCCACCGCCUUUUCGGCGAACCGCCCACUCAGUGCGAGGCGCGGGCGCCCCCAACAAGGACGAACGCCUCGGUGCGGCCACAAGAGAACGUGGACUUUGUGUUUCUUCUCCCUUUCCCUUCUCCUUUCUUCAAUAUCUUUUGUAAAUAAACCAGUCUCGAAACGGA